CAAAUCUCCGUAUGUUCUGGAUUAAAGUCAAGGCAGAAUAUCCUGAGAUUGCCACAAAAGCACUGAAAAGCCUGCUUCCAUUUCCAGCAUCCUAUCCUUGUGAUGCGGGCUUUUCUGCAGUGAUGGCACCCAAAACGAGAUCACCGAGUAGAGUGGGCAUAGCAACACACUUCGGGUGUCACUGUCUCCCAUCACCCCCAGAUGGGACCAUCUAGUUGCAGGAAGACAAGCUCAGGUCUCCCACUGAUUCUGCAUUAUGGUUAUCGAGAAGAAUCUUCUCAACAAAUCGACUGUGUAAUGUGGCUGCAGACCCUCCUGUGUGUCCCGUGGUUUUAAUGGAAGUGGAUCAGAGUGAGGGAGUUGGAAUCCAUAUCCUGCGCUAUGGUGACUCCUAUUCCUCUGGUCCUGAUGCAGCAUGAAACGUGGCACAAAGGAAAGAGGAAACGUGGCCUUUUGCGCUCGGUGUCUGAAAGGAAUUGCAGAAAUGGAGGAAUUUCUGAAGAACCUGGCAAAAGAAAGAAUGAGAUGUAAAAACCUGCCACAUCCAGAGAGCAUGAAGCAAACGUUCAACAAUACCAGUCAGGCCCCCUUGAAGAUCUUGGCAAACAAUGGCUCCUGCAGCUUGAGGAAAGGGAUCUUUAUUGAGUGCGGCAGAAAGGGUGUGCCCGGUUCACUUUCAGUCUUGCCCCAUGAUUU